rnacentral:rRNA from 1 species
AGUGAACGUUGGCGGCGUGGAUUAGGCAUGCAAGUCGCGCGGAAAGGCCCCGCAAGGGGUACUCGAGCGGCGUAAGGGAUAGUAACACGUGGGUACCUACCCCCGGGACUGGGAUAGCUGCGGGAAACUGCAGGUAAUACCGGAUAACGUCUCCGGACCAAAGGUGUGAUUCCGCCCGGGGAGGGGCCCGCGUCCUAUUAGCUAGUUGGCAGGGUAACGGCCUACCAAGGCUAAGAUGGGUAGGGGGUGUGAGAGCAUGACCCCCAUCACUGGGACUGAGACACUGCCCAGACACCUACGGGUGGCUGCAGUCGAGAAUCUUCGGCAAUGGGCGCAAGCCUGACCGAGCGACGCCGCGUGCGGGAUGAAGGCCCUCGGGUUGUAAACCGCUGUCAGAGGGAAAGAAGUGCCAGGGGGUUCUCCCCUUGGUUUGACUGACCCUCAGAGGAAGUACGGGCUAAGUUCGUGCCAGCCGCCGCGGUAAAAC